AGUUGAUGUACCUAAUUUAUAAAAUCACAAUUUCUAUUUUAGUUUUUUAUCGUAAAACAGAAUAUUUUUUUUUAUCAGAAAAAUGUAUUAUCAUCCCAUGUAGGCUUACAACUUACCGACCCCCAAUAAUCAUGGUCCUGUAUUCACUCCUUCCUAUUAUUGUUGAAUGCAUAAAUACCAUUCCAUACCAUCCGCUUCUUUAGUCUGUCUCACGGCCUUCUUCCUGUCGGUAGUCAUUCAAUAUUUAUGCUCUAACUUUUUCUUAUUUCUUAAAUAAAUUAAUAAAUAGGCGUAGUAUUGUACUACUAAUCUACUUUAUUAGUGUACAGUUUUUGCUCUGGAGGCUAUUUCUCAAAUCAAUACAUCAAAUUUUAAUGGAUUUUUAUUAUUUUUAAACAAAAAAGAUUUUCGAUUAAUUUGUGAAUAGGUCCCCCAUUUAUAAA